rnacentral:rRNA from 1 species
UACGGAGGGUGCAAACGUUGCUCGGAAUCAUUGGGCGUAAAGCGCACGUAGGCGGCCUGUUAAGUCGGGUGUGAAAGCCCUGGGCUCAACCCAGGAAGUGCACUCGAAACUGGCGGGCUUGAAUAUGGAAGAGGGUCGCGGAAUUCCCGGUGUAGAGGUGAAAUUCGUAGAUAUCGGGAGGAACACCAGUGGCGAAGGCGG